UCGAGAAUCUUCGGCAAUGGGCGCAAGCCUGACCGAGCGACGCCGCGUGCGGGAUGAAGGCCUUCGGGUUGUAAACCGCUGUCGUAGGGGAGGAAGACGCCGUGCAGAACGGUGUUUGACCGAUCCUAGGAGGAAGGGCCGGCUAAUCUCGUGCCAGCAGCCGCGGUAAUACGAGAGGCCCAAACGUUAUUCGGAAUUACUGGGCUUAAAGAGUUCGUAGGCGGCGCAGAAAGUAGGGUGUGAAAGCCCUCGGCUCAACCGAGGAAUUGCGCUCUAAACUACUGUGCUUGAGGAAGCUAGAGGUGAGCAGAACUGAUGGUGGAGCGGUGAAAUGCGUUGAUAUCAUCAGGAAUACCGGAGGCGAAGGCGGCUCACUGGGGCUUUUCUGACGCUGAGGAACGAAAGCCAGGGUAGCGAACG
rnacentral:rRNA from 1 species